GCAGGGCAUCCUCGGGAGGCAGCAGUGGGGAAUAUUGCACAAUGGGCGCAAGCCUGAUGCAGCCAUGCCGCGUGUAUGAAGAAGGCCUUCGGGUUGUAAAGUACUUUCAGCAGUGAGGAAGGUGGGUAUGUUAAUAGCAUAUUCAUUUGACGUUAGCUGCAGAAGAAGCACCGGCUAACUCCGUGCCAGCAGCCGCGGUAAUACGGAGGGUGCGAGCGUUAAUCGGAAUUACUGGGCGUAAAGCGCAUGCAGGUGGUUUGUUAAGUCAGAUGUGAAAGCCCGGGGCUCAACCUCGGAAUUGCAUUUGAAACUGGACAAACUAGAGUACUGUAGAGGGGGUAGAAUUUCAGGUGUAGCGGUGAAAUGCGUAGAGAUCUGAAGGAAUACCGGUGGCGAAGGCGGCCCCCUGGACAGAUACUGACACUCAGAUGCGAAAGCGUGGGGAGCAAACAGGAUUAGAUACCCUGGUAG
rnacentral:rRNA from 1 species